GAGGAUAUAGCUCAGUGGUAGAGUGCAUGCUUAGCAUGCUCUGGGCCCUGGGUUCAAUCCCCAGCAUCUCUG
rnacentral:tRNA from 1 species